rnacentral:rRNA from 1 species
GACGAACGCUGGCGGCGUGCUUAACACAUGCAAGUCGAACGGAAAGGCCCUUCGGGGUACUCGAGUGGCGAACGGGUGAGUAACACGUGGGUGAUCUGCCCUGCACUUUGGGAUAAGCCUGGGAAACUGGGUCUAAUACCGAAUAGGACCACGCGCUUCAGGGUGUGUGGUGGAAAGCUUUUGCGGUGUGGGAUGGGCCCGCGGCCUAUCAGCUUGUUGGUGGGGUAAUGGCCUACCAAGGCGACGACGGGUAGCCGGCCUGAGAGGGUGACCGGCCACACUGGGACUGAGAUACGGCCCAGACUCCUACGGGAGGCAGCAGUGGGGAAUAUUGCACAAUGGGCGCAAGCCUGAUGCAGCGACGCCGCGUGAGGGAUGACGGCCUUCGGGUUGUAAACCUCUUUCAAUAGGGACGAAGCGCAAGUGACGGUACCUAUAGAAGAAGCACCGGCCAACUACGUG